CCAUAUGGUCGACCUGCAGGCGGCCGCGAAUUCACUAGUGAUUCGUAUUACCGCGGCUGCUGGCACGAAGUUAGCCGGGGCUUCUUCUCCGGGUACCGUCAUUAUCGUCCCCGGUGAAAGAAUUUUACAAUCCUAAGACCUUCAUCAUUCACGCGGCAUGGCUGCGUCAGGCUUUCGCCCAUUGCGCAAGAUUCCCCACUGCUGCCUCCCGUAGGAGUUUGGGCCGUGUCUCAGUCCCAAUGUGGCUGAUCAUCCUCUCAGACCAGCUACUGAUCGUAGCCUUGGUGAGCCUUUACCUCACCAACAAGCUAAUCAGACGCGGGCCGCUCUAAUGGCGAUAAAUCUUUCCCCCGAAGGGCACAUUCGGUAUUAGCUCAAGUUUCCCUGAGUUGUUCCGAACCAAAAGGCACGUUCCCACGUGUUACUCACCCGUCCGCCACUAAUCCCGAAGGAUCCGUUCGACUUGCAUGUGUUAGGCCUGCCGCCAGCGUUCGCUCUGAGCCAUGAUCAAACUCUAAUCGAAUUCCCGCGGCCGCCAUGGCGGCCGGGAGCAUGCGACGUCGG
rnacentral:rRNA from 1 species